rnacentral:lncRNA from 1 species
CAGCCCUGUUUUAGCCACACAGUGGUGUCUGAUGCACUUCACCAAAGCAAAUAAAGCAGCGACACUCGGCCGCGGAACUGACCACGGCUGGCGGUACUGUGACGGCCUGGGGUCCAGCCUGCCUCCGAGGAGGUGUCGCAGUCAGUGACCCCCACACGCCCCUCCUGUGUGGGUGACUUGGGGGAAGGUGCAGCUGAUGAAGGACACCCUCCCUGUUGGGCCUGACUCUGCACAGCCUGCAAAAAAUUAAAGCUCGCAGAAGAUUGGAAAGACCGACUGAAGGCCUGGCCUCGGCCUCCAGGAAGCCCCCAGACGGAGCCCCGCCACCUGGUGCUGCUCCUGGGCUAGCUCAUGGGGCCUCUGGGAGGAAACGCGACAGGAGAGUCCCCUGGGGGCUGGCAGCUCCCGCCUCCUGCUUUGGCCCCUUCAGGGAGCUCAGGCCAGCAAGGGUGGAAGGUAGGUCAAGGGCUCAUGCUGAAGGCCAAAGGCACUGCUGAUAUUCUUUGAAAUAAAGGAAGGUAAUAAAGAGGAACAAGAGACAUUUGAAGUGUUGUCAGGCCUUGACACCAGCACGGGAAGCAGGAGGGUACAGUCUAGCUGCCUGGGUCUGCGGUUCCCAGAGCUCCUCUGUCCCCAGCUGGGGGAGGCUCUCUUGUCCAGUCCUGUGAGGCUGGCCUUCACCACAUCCCCGGACAAUCCCAGGACUGGAGGAAUCCUCUUGGUGCUCCUCUGGCUGCUCACUUUCCCGACAGUAGCCAGGGCUGCGAUGCCACCACUGAGAGGAGGCUACUCAAACAGACCCUGGGGAGGCCCGCGUGACAAGGAUGGUGUCUUGGUCAGCUCGGGCUGCCGCAGCAGCACCACAGCCUGCGUCUUGAACAACAGAAAUGUCCUCUUCAAAGCUCUGGAGGCUGGGGAGCCCAGGGUGCAGGUGCUGGUCCCCUUGUGUCUGGGAGGGUCCUCAUUGUGUUAGAAGCCGUGAGACAGUUCUUGGGGCCCCUCUCAGGUGGGCACUAAUCCCAUUCUUGAGAGCUCCACCCUUGUCACCUAGUCCUCUCCCAAAGCCCUCCUCCACCCAAGUCCUCAUCUUGGGGGUGGGAAUUUCAACAUAUGGACCUAUGAACUUGAGGGAUGUGAGCAUUCAGCCAUCGUGCAUGGGAAGGACUGACCAUGCCGUCCCUCAGAGACCCACUUCCAGAAGUCUCUGUCAGGAAGGAGGGGAGGACAAAUAGAGCCAGCCCUCUAGGGUCAGAUUGGACCUGGGCUUUGAGGGGCCAGGGUGGCAGGACAUUGUUGGAACCCGAGGAGGGGGUGUGGGCUUGCAGAGGACACUUUGCUGCAGCUCCUCCCACUGACCACCAACGUCUGUGGCACGGGGCAGGCCAUGGGGACCCAUGGGGACAGAGGCACAGCCAUCCUGCACUCUUAGGCAUUUUAAAAUCCUCUGUGACAUAUUGUGUUUGAGAGGGCUCUAGUGGACUUCUGAGGCAUUGCUACAGGGAGUACCUUCUUGGGAAGGCAGCGAUUCAGGGGACUUCAGGGCUGGAGGCUGAGUUAAGAACUGUCCUGGCCUUCCCUGCAGACCACCAGGAAGCAGACUGAGCUACUGGGGGCAAGCUUGGUGGGGCUGCUCAGACCAUCACUCUCCUGCCCCUAAAGCAUCUUGACUAUUUUCUGAGGGCUCGUUGUGUAAUAAAUAUUCUAUCAGCAAAAUACCAAAAAACAUUUUAAAACAAUGUGUAUGCAUACAAAAAAGCAAGGGAAUGGUAUGACCAACACGCACGUUCUCACUAUUCAAAUUUGAAAAUGUUCAAAAGCUUGUGUUGUAGCUUGUGCUGUGCACCUUUAAUUAUUAGGGACUGCACAUCAAAACCCCGAGACACCAUGUCAUACCCACAGGUCUGCGGAGCACCAAGAAGCCAGGUACCAGGGAGCUGUUGAGGAUGGAAUGAGGCCAUGUUCUCUGUGGUGUGGAUGGGAACUAGCACAGCCUCUCUGGAAAACAGUGGCCCUUCCUCAGAAAACAGAGUCACCCUGUGACCCAGCAGUUCCACUCUAGGUAAAUGCAAGAGAAAUGAAAACCUGUGUGCAUACAAAAACUUGGGCACAAAUGUUCACAGCAGGACUGUCCACCAUAGCCCAAAGGUAGAAGCACCUUGAAUGUUCAACAACUGGCAAUGGACGAAGGAAACAUGGGCAUCCUUGCAACGGAAUAUCACUCAGCCAGGCAAAAGAAGACAGCCCCGAUCUGCGCUGCAACCCAGCUGAUCCCAACGGUGUUCAGCUGAGCGACAGAAGCUAGCUGCAAGAGGCCACAGACUGUAGGAUGUCAUUCACAGCAAAUGUCAGGAUCAGGGGAAUCAGGAAAAAACAGAAAGUAGAUUAAAAGUGAGAUAGGUUGUGGCGGCUAAAGGAUACAGAGUGUCUUUACAAGGUGAUGCAAAUGUUCUAAGUUUGUGGCAAUUACUGCAUGCAUCCAUGAAUAUCCUCCAAACCACUGAAUUGUAUACAUUCAAUAAGGGAAUUGUAUGUCUAUGAAUUAUACCAUAAUUGGCAGUAAGUUACUUGUAGAAGUUAUAUUCUCUUCUAGUUAUAUUCUCUUCUAUUUUAUAAAUGACAAAUAAAAACUACAUGCAUUUAUAAUGUACAACAUGUCUUGAUACAUGUACGCACCAUUGAAUGGCUAAAUCAAGCUAGUUAGCACACACAUUGCCCCAUAUAUUUAUUAUUUUUGUAGUGAGAAC